rnacentral:rRNA from 1 species
UACGUAGGGUGCGAGCGUUAAUCGGAAUUACUGGGCGUAAAGCGAGCGCAGACGGUUACUUAAGCAGGAUGUGAAAUCCCCGGGCUCAACCUGGGAACUGCGUUCUGAACUGGGUGACUAGAGUGUGUCAGAGGGAGGUAGAAUUCCACGUGUAGCAGUGAAAUGCGUAGAGAUGUGGAGGAAUACCGAUGGCGAAGGCAGCCUCCUGGGAUAACACUGACGUUCAUGCU